rnacentral:rRNA from 1 species
CUACUUCGGUAGUGAAUUAGCGGCGAACGGGUGAGGAACACGUGAGGAAUCUGCCUUCUACACUGGGAUAACUCCGGGAAACCGGGGCUAAUACCGGAUAUGAAACUUGGUGGCAUCACCGAGUUUGGAAAGUUUUUCGGUAGAAGAUGACCUCGCGGCCUAUCAGCUUGUUGGUGAGGUAAUGGCUCACCAAGGCGACGACGGGUAGCCGGCCUGAGAGGGCGACCGGCCACACUGGGACUGAGACACGGCCCAGACUCCUACGGGAGGCAGCAGUGGGGAAUAUUGGGCAAUGGAGGAAACUCUGACCCAGCGACGCCGCGUGCGGGAUGAAGGCCUUCGGGUUGUAAACCGCUUUCAGUAGGGAAGAAGCGAAAGUGACGGUACCUACAGAAGAAGCACCGGCUAACUAUGUGCCAGCAGCCGCGGUAAUACAUAGGGUGCAAGCGUUGUCCGGAAUUAUUGGGCGUAAAGAGCUCGUAGGUGGUUCGUUACGU